UUAGGGGUGUAGCUCAGAGGUAGAGUGUUUGCCUAUCAUGUGUAAUGGCCUGGGUUCAAUCCCCAAUCCUGAAA
rnacentral:tRNA from 1 species